UUGGUGGGGUGAUGGCCUACCAAGGCGACGACGGGUAGCCGGCCUGAGAGGGUGUCCGGCCACACUGGGACUGAGAUACGGCCCAGACUCCUACGGGAGGCAGCAGUGGGGAAUAUUGCACAAUGGGCGCAAGCCUGAUGCAGCGACGCCGCGUGAGGGAUGACGGCCUUCGGGUUGUAAACCUCUUUCAGUAUCGACGAAGCGCAAGUGACGGUAGGUACAGAAGAAGCACCGGCCAACUACGUGCCAGCAGCCGCGGUAAUACGUAGGGUGCGAGCGUUGUCCGGAAUUACUGGGCGUAAAGAGCUCGUAGGUGGUUUGUCGCGUUGUUCGUGAAAACUCACAGCUCAACUGUGGGCGUGCGGGCGAUACGGGCAGACUGGAGUACUGCAGGGGAGACUGGAAUUCCUGGUGUAGCGGUGGAAUGCGCAGAUAUCAGGAGGAACACCGGUGGCGAAGGCGGGUCUCUGGGCAGUAACUGACGCUGAGGAGCGAAAGCGUGGGGAGCGAACAGGAUUAGAUACCCUGGUAGUCCACGCCGUAAACGGUGGGUACUAGGUGUGGGUUUCCUUCCUUGGGAUCCGUGCCGUAGCUAACGCAUUAAGUACCCCGCCUGGGGAGUACGG
rnacentral:rRNA from 1 species